UCAUGACCUACAUUUGCCGGUCAUAGUUCUUGGCUCAUAGCGGAGACGAGUGGGGGCUAGAGAGAGAGAAAGAGCAGAAAGUUCCCGUCGCCGACGUUAUGUUGCUCCGUAGGCUAGAGAGCCACCGUCACCGGCGGUGUUUGUCAGUCCAAGGGUUCCUAUGGCGUUCUCUAGAAUCCCCGAUUCUGGCAUAGCAACUGGAUUUUAGGGCACCGUUCGUCGGAGCUCAAGAUCAUUGCAUGCCUUCUGGAUUUUUGGGGUUUUCACUGUGGCCGGUCUAUAAUGGUUGGUUGUUGCCGGCGUCGUUCAAGGGCACUUAUGGUUUCGAUGAUGGCUAGGGUUUCCUAUGCUGAGACUCUAACCGACUUUGAUGGGUGGUGAUUGCUUUUAUCUACGAUUAUCAAUGACUAUGGGUGUCUUCAUCUGAGAUGUUCUUCAUUUGAAUUUUGAAACCGUGAGUUCGCUUAUGUGUUUACUUUAUUGGCUAGGAUUUCUGAAGACCACGUAUAUUGUAUAUAUAUAAAUUUGUGAUUUGUAGAGUUCCUUUGAUAAUAUAGGAGCUACAUCAUUUGGUCUAUGAUUCUUUUUUUGGCAUUGAUUUUAUGCAACCAUUGUUUGGCGUUUUGGUUAUUGAGUUAGGCAAUGAUGAUUGCGCGGGUGUAAACCGAGAUGAGGAUUUAACCAUGGCGUGGCGUGGCAUGUUUGAGAGAUGGUAGAUAUUCAUCUGUAACCUCCAAUGCAGCCACAGUUAUCUCCUUCGGUUACACCCUCUGAGUCUAUCCAUUGGGCUGUAUUGAUGGUUGUACCCAUUGCUUAAAGUUUUAUUUAUGGUAAAGUUUUGAUGCCUGUACUCAUAUUUGUGAACCGUGGGCAUGUGAUAUCAGUAUUGUAUCUACUUCUGGGCUAUGAUGAUGCGUUUUUGUUUGAAGAAACUAAGAUUUUAGUGUUUGUUGGCGUGGCACAUGAGGUCUUUAACCUCUUAGUGUGCAGCCAACACGCGUAAAUUCUGUUUCUUCAACAUGUCUGAGCCUAUAUAACUAUACUAUUGCUGGUGUGCAACAUGUGAAGGACCACUUGACUCUUUAAUUGAAGAGAGCUUAUGUUCUUCUGGUAAUGAUGGUGUUGAGUGGUUAUGGACUAAGCACGACGUCAGAGAGGGUUUUCGGCCGAGUUGAACUUCCGGCGACCAAACCUAGGGUUCCGGCAAAGUUCCGAUGAACCUCCACCAACCGGCGAACUUCCACUUCUUCGCGAACGAAAUGCAUCUGUAUAGUCCUAUCUUAUAUUUUUUUAUUGCUUUGCUUCAUUAAGCUUCUUCAAGUUCCAUUUUGUAUUUCUCGGUUUCAUUUUUAAUUUCAGCGAUGUUAUUUAUGAGUUUGUGCCUAUUUUUGAAUUAGGGUUUAUUGCCUAUUAUAGUCUACAUUACUAUCAUGAUGGAUUGAAUGUAAGCAUGCAACUAUCUUAUGUUCUUUACAUUAUUAUGAAUCAAGUAACAAGCUUUGAAUUUAGUGUGUUUGCAUUAUGAUCCACUGAUGUUUUAAUAUAUUGUUGGAAUUGUAUUUUGCACUCUAGGCAGUGUUUCAUACAUUUACAUAGUGUCAUUCUGCAGAUUAGCUACUGAAUGAUUGGCUCAUUUGUGUAUAUAUAGGGUGAUUUGGGCUACCGAGCGCUUUCUACGGUCGCGGGCGGUGGGCUGACCUUUGGCCAUUGGGUUAACCAGAUGUAUAUGAAGGGGUAUGUCUUGAUGGUUUAUAGUGAUUACUUGAAGAAAAUGGUCGAGUAACACUCUGCCUUUACAGUUUGUUGUGCUUCAUCGGAGCAACAAAUCGUAGUACCCGCCGCAACGCGGCG